CUCGAGACUUCUAUUUAUCAAAUAGCAUGUCAAAUUAAACUUUAUCUAGUUGGGAUACCCUCUGAAAUACUUCCAUACCACUGAGGUGUGGGGGUGCAUGGUCCUUCUCUAUCUUAUUCCUCUUGAAACUGUCCCACUGCUUACGAAAAGGAUGAUGCUCGAGAAAGAAUUGACGAUGAUAAAUGAACCAGCAUGGCUUAUAUCCAUGCUCAAACUGAAAUGAUUUUGUAUUCUCUAUGUAAUAAGGACAUACAAGCUUUCAAUGAGUGCUCUAUACUGACAGCAUUCCAUAAGCAAAAAAAUCACUAAUGAUCCACAUCAAUACAGCCUUCAUU
rnacentral:lncRNA from 1 species